rnacentral:rRNA from 1 species
AGUGAACGCUGGCGGUAGGCCUAACACAUGCAAGUCGAACGGCAGCACAGUAAGAGCUUGCUCUUACGGGUGGCGAGUGGCGGACGGGUGAGGAAUACAUCGGAAUCUACUUUUUCGUGGAGGAUAACGUAGGGAAACUUACGCUAAUACCGCAUACGACCUACGGGUGAAAGCAGGGGAUCUUCGGACCUUGCGCGAUUGAAUGGGCCGAUGUCGGAUUAGCUAGUUGGCGGGGUAAAGGCCCACCAAGGCGACGAUCCGUAGCUGGUCUGAGAGGAUGAUCAGCCACACUGGAACUGAGACACGGUCCAGACUCCUACGGGAGGCAGCAGUGGGGAAUAUUGGACAAUGGGCGCAAGCCUGAUCCAGCCAUACCGCGUGGGUGAAGAAGGCCUUCGGGUUGUAAAGCCCUUUUGUUGGGAAAGAAAAGCAGCAGGUUAAUACCCCGCCGUUCUGACGGUACCCAAAGAAUAAGCACCGGCUAACUUCGUG